CCUCCUUAAUUUUGCAUUUCCAACAUGAUUUGUCUACAUUCUUGUACAUUUUUCCUAAUCUAACAGGUGUGAUAUGCCACCUGUACAUCAUUUUAUACAUAUUUUCUCUAAGUGUUGUACAAGCCGAGAACUUCAUACCUAUAUUCCAAAGUUUCUUCCACUUUUCAAACUCUAUAUUAUAUCCAAAGUCUAUCAGCCACUGAGCUUCAUGAUCAAGUGGGGAUUUGAAUCCUGUUGUCUGACACUAUAACCACUGCACUGUCUCCUAGUAUUGUAUUGUAUUGUAUUGUAUUGAUUGUUUCUUCUGCCCUCCAUCAGCCCUCACUUGCCUGGCUAUCUGCCACCUCCUCCUCCGUCUCAGCGUUGCUGCUUAUAGCACUCCACAAGGAGGAGGAUGGGGACAAAACUAGGAGAAGGUUGGCUCUGCCUGUCAUUGGCUCUGGCGCCCCCUACUGUUGGGCUCCCUGUCUUCCACCCUACCAGACCCAAUGGGUACCAGCCCACAUCAGCUGUCACACUACCAGUAGUGGCUUCUGCCCUGAGUCUGGCCCCCCACAAGGUCUGAGGGACAGUGGACCGGCCCCCUGCUGAAAAAGUUUGCUGACCCCUAAGAUGAUCAGAAGGAGCUACCCAGGAAAUCCCACCUCUCAAGAUAUUCUGAAGAAUACUUUGUGGGGCAAGUUAAGGUUUGCAACGUAAAUUAUGAACCUCAGACUUUUGAGGAAAUCCCACACCUGCCGCCACAAUAGAAGGAGCUGUGGUUUGCUGCAGUGGAACAAGAAAUGGAAUCUCUAGCUGAUCACAAGUUUUUCUCACUUGUUGAUUUGCCUGAAGGGGAGAAAUCUGCGGGGUGCCUUUGGGUCCAUAAAAGAAAAACCCUAGCAUAUGGUGAAGUAAAGUUUAAAGCAAAGCUUGUUGCAAAAGGAUUCAUGCAGUGAAGGGGUUUAGAUUAUGAUGAGAGAUGAGACAUUUACUCUGACAGCCAGGAACAAAAGUAUGAGAAUGCUUUUAACCCUUGCAGCAUAUUGUGACAGCAUAUUUAAAUGCAGGGUUAAAAGAGGUGGCUUAUAUAUUUUUUUAAAAAACCUCACAAAUUGAUCUCUUAUUUCUUUCCACAACUCUACCUCCUAUGUUAAUUGUAUUUAUGCAGGCUUUCUCUUGCCUUUUUUUAUUUGCCAUGCUAAUACUUUCCCUGCUUUUAGUAGCUUGCUCAAAUUGUUUAUGUUUUAAAUCUUUAAUUUUCCACUCUUUUUUUUUAUUUAUUAUCAUUGAAAACUGAGUUUGCAAUAAUUUAAUAUCCUGUUUAACUAUCUCUUUUCUACAAUAAUUUAUCAAUUCGUUUUCUUUCCUUUAUAUUUCUACCUUCUUCACCUCAAUGUACAAAUCUCUAGAGGGCCAUACAGAGUCCAUUCAGCUCACCAAAUUAUUUGUGGAUGAAUAAAAUGUAAAUUAUCUAUC